UACGUAGGCGGAAAAUUAAGUCAGUAGUGAAAUCCUGCAGCUUAACUGUAGAACUGUUAUUGAUACUGGUUUUCUUGAAUAUAGUUGAGGUAGGCGGAAUGUGUAAUGUAGCGGUGAAAUGCUUAGAUAUUACACAGAACACCGAUUGCGAAGGCAGCUUACUAAGCUAUGAUUGACGCUGAGGUACGAAAGCGUGGGGAGCGAACAGGAUUAGAUACCCUGUAGUCC
rnacentral:rRNA from 1 species